AUUUUAUAUCACAGUUGCUACUGCCAGUGAAACAUUUGCUGUAAGAAAGCUUCCCCAGGUCAAUACUUUGGAGAUCCUCAUAUAUGAAACCAGCUAAAUAACAAAUGCUAGUGUUGUAACAGAACUGAAUUAAGAUUAUUCUGGUAGCAUACAUGCAGGACGAUGCACCACAUGAUUCCAGCUGUCACUUGCAGGUAGUUGCUGUUUGAGGCAGCAUGAGGAAACAGAGUGAAACUUUCCUAUAGAAAGUUUCCUACAGAGAAUUAGUGCUAUCAGAAUCUUCGAAGUACACAUCCUAAGAUAAAUGGAAAUCAGGAAGCAAAAAUUACAAAUUGGGCUUCAAGUUAAUGAAGGGGGAAAUAGCGUGCUGCAUGGGUGUGCAAGAGAUCCUCCUAUGAUAUGAUAUGAAAGUAGUUAACCUCUGGAUGGAUUGGAUAGAAAGUGAAUUUAUUUUUCUGAUAUUUCCCAUAUAUUGGAGAGAAAAGAUGCAACUGUAAGACUGCCAGGUAAAAUGAAGCCCACUGAGAAGAGCAUUGUGGUCUUCAGGAGGUCUUUUCUGUGGUCAGGUAAUGGUUUAAAUGUCGGUUUGCUUAGAAUAAGAUUCUGUAGAGAUUUUCUAUGUGAUUAUUACUGCUUCUGUGUUUUCUGUGCUCCUAUUACUGCGUAAUACUUGAUGCUUCCUCUGCUUUUAAAGAGGAUGAGUAAUGUUGCUCUUCUCAGCUAAUCAGACGCAAGUUGUGCACUGAUGAAAUGAGAGAAUUCAGUGGGGCAGGCGCAGUCUGCAGUCACUUGCAGAACAAUGGCUUCUGACUGUAAAUUCUGGACUAAUGAGUGCUCGUUAUCUUUAUGUACAGCUCCCUAUAAUGUAGUGCUUGUGAAUGCACUGUGAUAUGAAUAAAAGAGCUUUUUC